UGGUGAAUCGAUUCUGUUGGUCGAGUUCUACAACGAGCCUGUGAAGUUUCAAAAGAACAUUCCGUUGAUCAUAAUGAGGACACAGCGCCCGGCGCGUCUAUCCGCCGGCCCGUUCGGGUGGUUGUCUCUGGAGCUGUUCGCUACUGUUUUGAAUUCAGCUUACUCGUACUUCACGAUUCUUAGAGAAGUGACUCGGGAGUAACCAAGAAGAAACUACAUUACCUGUUCUACCCUCAUGGCUAUCAUUAUUUUUAUAUUACACUAUAGAAUUAUCCCCCAAAUUAUAAAAGUUUUAAUGUGUUUGUUGCUGAAUUGAUUCUCUCUCAUCCUUUAACAGUUAUAUUUAUGCAUAACGCUUGCUUUAGUAUUGAAUAACUCCUGUAGAAUUUAGUUGUGCAUUUCGUUGGAUUCUCAGAACAAAGUCAAGUUUUCUUGAAUACUAUUAAUGGAUCAGUCUUUAUAAAUUGGGUGCACGCAGAGGCCGGAAGUAACUUUUAAAAUUAAAUUUAUAUUACAAGAAAAAUAUCGUCUGAUAACGGUGUUCCAUGUUAUGUAUAGACCCUAUGGAGCCUAAAUAUGUUCUGAUUAGGCUAUGGCGUCUACAGGUACGAGUGAUUCCCACUUUAAUUACUAAUGAAAACAAACUUUCACCUCAGUUUUCGUCUUAUAAAUCUACGGAACACAGGCUAAUUGUGAUUAGCGUUACGAAAUUUACAACCAACUCGGCUGAAACGUACAAACUCAGGGCACUUUGUUUUUCUUGAAGCCCAAGUCCUGAUUGGUGGCAGAAGCGGGAAGAAAUUAGAAUUGCAGAGAAGUGCAGUAUGAAGAUGUAGAAGUGGUCGAAGGUCCUCCACGUCUGUACCAUCACUCUGGAGACAAAUGUGUCUCCUUCCACUGACACCACCAAUUCCAAUUUGAUCAUAAUCCGUUAAGUAUUUUCGAAUUUGAAGCCUGCAUACAGACUGAAAGCGAAGAAGGAUGACCGAUCAUUUAGUUGUCGGCUUAGACGUGUAAAUCUAUGGGAUGAAAGUAAAAAAAUUGUAAACACAACACCAUCAUAUAUUGAAAUUGUGACUAGAAGAAAUAUCAUUAGACUUGCAGUACAUUUUGUAACAUUUUUAUCGUCCUUAGGAAACACUACAUACAAAAGAGUUUGUAAACACAUAGGCCUAAUGAAGUUAUUGUGACACAGGUACAUUAGCAGUGUUUUGACAAAAAAAACAGCAUUGUGUUGCAUUGACAUAUCCGUCCAUUUUCUGCUUUGUAAUUAGGCUUACUUUGCUUUCAGUAAAUAUGUUGCGAUACCAGCUUCUUAUUUAUUAUAAAUAUCUACAAAUUGGGAGCCUAUAAGAAUGUAUACCAGGCCUGCCUUUCAAAACGCAGUUUUUGAAUGUUCACAGUUGUUUUUGUUGUUAUUAGCUGUGUAGUGAACACAUUGCCUUUGAACUGUAAAGUGUUCGAUAUGAGAACACCUGCGUCGUAUUAAACAAACAAUAAUGGCCGCCAGAA